rnacentral:rRNA from 1 species
GACUGUAGGCUGCAACUCGCCUACACGAAGUCGGAAUCGCUAGUAAUCGCGGAUCAGCAUGCCGCGGUGGAUACGUUCCCGGGCCUUGUACACACCGCCCGUCACACCAUGGGAGUUUGUAACGCCCAAAGUCGGUGGCCUAACCUUUAUGGAGGGAGCCGCCUAAGGCGGGACAGAUGACUGGGGUGAAGUCGUAACAAGGUAAC